rnacentral:lncRNA from 1 species
CUUUCUGCAUCCAUUACCCUUUUCAAUGGACUCAUUACUAGUGCUGCUGCAUAUGGAAUUGGUUGGACUCUUAGGAAUGUUGCUGGCUUGGAAGAGUGAUCACUCACUAUUAUGUUGCAAAACUGAUUUUGCUGUUAAAGCAAGCCUAAGGGUCACAAAAGAAGAGAGCACGUGGUGAUUUCCUAGUUUUUAACCAUUCUUGUGACAACAAAAUCGUGUUCUUGAUGUUCUUGAAAUAUUACUGUCCUAACUUAUAUAUUGUCAUUGACUCUUCUCAUGUGAUUAGUCUACUUUUUACGUUAAAGGGUCGAGAUGGGAUAAAAUAACCAAAAUUACUACUGCCUCUUAAGCAGUUUGAAAUCCUGCUUAUUGCGAUCUCUGUUAUAUAGAUCCUUCAUUUGUCUUUAAGUUUGCUUCCUACAAAAGUUAGUACUAAGAAGAGCAGCAAUAUAUGUAGACUUAUUAUAUGCAUUUGCAGGGUAAACGUUUUGUACACUAGUAUAGUGUUGUUUGAUCAAAAAGUGUGACUUUCGGUUAAAAUUAUUGUAUUUAUGUAGUGAUGGUUAAACAUAGUUAAUAAUAAUAUCUCUAAAUGUAAGUUUCGAGAAUGUAGCUAAUCGUUGAAUAGAACUGAUGGGAGAUUGAUAAUAACAGAUAUUAAAUAUUCUAAAAGGUAUCGACAAUAAUGGAGGAGUAACUAACAAUAAAUAACAAUAAAUGAUGUUUAAGUAAAUAGGAGGUGUGAUUCACCCAGUAAAGAAUGAACUACAUGAUUGUUCCUCCUGAUAAUGAUGAGUGACAGAUAAAUCCUACAAUGUUCGAACUGUUCUCGGAUCUGAUGGAAAAAUAUGGAAUAAUAUAAACAAGACUCUUAAUGAAAAAGUAAUGUUUGUAUUUUUGCUAGAGAGAGAAUCUUUCUCAGAAAUAUGUUCUUAUUAAGUGGAUAUUACAUGCCCCUUUUCCUUAUCUUUUGUCCUCUUUAUAUGAGACAUAUCCAUAGUAAACCCUAAUAGUACAUGUACAAGGAACAUUCUUUUCCCUCUAUUAUCCUAUUCUAAAAACUAGCCGUUACAACUCUUUCCGCGGAUCUCGUACUCGACCAUUGUAAUUUGUAAGUAUCCCGACCGAUCGACCUUGGCUGGUUCGUCCCUCAAUACUUUCUUGCCCUAAAUGUUCCCUGGUAGAUUUCGACCUAUACAGUUAGUCCCUCCGCUUAUUGAGGCCUUCUUCAGACGGCCCCGAUGAACGAACUUUGUUGGCUAUGGUCGAGGAGAGUGGACAAGUGGGCCAGGCAGUUAAGUUUGGGACGAUCUGGCAACAUGGCAUUUCGUGAGCCGCAACUUUUGGAGUUGCAUCUUUUCUGCACUAGAAUGAAGUUAUGACAUCAUGCGUCAUUAUGGCGCAUUCUUCCGAUGUUUUUGCGUCGUUUCCCGUGUGACUGUCAGUUGGGGAUGCCAUUUCGAUUCCAGUGCUGGGUAGUAAUGGAAUAAUCUCUUAGUUUUGAUGCCCGAAUUCUUAUAAAUAGAGAUGUGAUGAUAUUCAUUUGUUUUUUUAAGUGUUUUUCUUAUCAUAACAUUGUGUCUUCUUCUCCUUCCUCCACUGCUGUGUGUCUUCUUUCCUGGUCUUAGUGAUUCCUAUUGCUUCUAAUCCUUCUUUGUCUGGAUAUCCUUUAUCUCAUAAAAAAUAUGGCUAAUGUAUCCUCUGGUUCCGGUGUGGGAAUUGACCUCAUCCCUUUGGCGGUACUUAUGCCUCCUCACUCUAAUGGCGUCUCUGUCUCCAUUGAAGAUGAGAACUUUCCUAUGAUAGAGGAAAAAAUUCCUCUUAGCGAGAAAGUUAGGUCUGACUUUUCGAAGGAUCCUGAAGACGAGCCCGAGGCCUCUGAGUCGGCGAUGAAAUAGGCCGAUCUAGCUUAUCGAUUUAGUCCCAGCAGGGCGUGAUGUGGUACAAAUCCUCCGCUUAGGGUAUUGUAGGGGUGAGCAUCGGUCGGUUCGGUUCGGUUAUGAAUAUUAUUGGUUUAGCAUAUCGGUUAUCGGUUUUCAAAUAUGAUAAACCGAUAACAAAACUGAUAAGAUAUUAGUUCGGUUAUCAGUUUACCCUCUACGAUAAUUCAAUCUAGAGUUAAGCAAAAAAGAGAAGACAAUUCACUCGAGUUAAACAAAAAAGAGAAGAAUUCACAUAUAGUAUACUACCCUAUUCUGCGUUCUAGCCACAACUAAUAUUUGAAGAAUGUUUCAUUUUGACAAGUUCAUAACCUGCGCAAUCUCAAAAAUUGAUACUACAACUCCACAAGCAUUCCAUCUCCAUUUUACUGGAAAUAUUAGUUAACAGGAACAUAAAUUACAAUUUUUUGGGUUCCUACCAAACUAUAAUCAAGAGAUCAAUCAUUUUCCAGAAUCCAAUGAUAGCAAGAGCAAUAAGAGUACUAGUAAUUCAAAAGUUGUCCCAACACAACUGAAAUAGUGUUAAUUCUUCAACAAUCCAAAUACAUUAAUCACAAUACAAAGUAGUAGCAAUUUCACCUUAAAAUUAAAAAGUACAAAUAUAGUACUAAAACAUGAGCACAAAAUAAAGAAUUGAAAACAAUCAAAAAUCCUAUAUUUUUAUUAUCGAACUUUACUAUAAAACUCAAAAGAAAGGAACGAAAUUUGUUCUUAAUAAAGAAGUAAUUUGGGAAUACAAAUUUACGCUAAGAUUCUAAGAAUGUGGUUGUACAUUGAAAUUUGAAGAAGAACUGUUCAAAAAUUGAAUCAGAGUCUGAAGAGUGAACAUUGAAACUUCAAUCUUGAAUACGGCUGGGAAAAUUAGGAGAAAAAAAAGAGAAUGAAGCCCUAGAAAUUGGGUAAAAUCCUAAUUUUAUUAAAUCUUAUUGUGUCAUUGGUUAACCCAUUAAGAAAUUGGGUAACCCGUGGCCCAAACCGAUAACCCAAUAGUGAAAAAAUACAAAACUGUUAUCAAACCAAUAACCCGAUUACCCGAUAUCGAUACCCCAAUAAGCUUUUAUCGGUUCGGGCUAUCGAUUAUACCUGAUAUAUGCCAGCCCUAGGGUACUGUGCAUUCUAUGCAUAUCCCUUCCAGGUAGGCUACUCUCUUCCUCUUCUCCCAUUGGCGGAGAAAUUCUGUUGCUACUAUGGCAUGUGCCCGGCUCAACGUGCCCCAUAUAUCGACAAGCUCAUCAAGAUGCUUACUAAAUUUGCAGAGUUGGCGGGGUCGGGAUCAUUCUUCGGCAUCUGAUGCAUCUCUUCGCCCCUAGUUUCUAUAGGGGGAAAAUAAUGAACCUUCGUCAUCGAGGUGUCAAAUGCCUGGUGGUGAAUAUGGAUGACAAGGCAAAUCGUUAGUUCUUGCACAACUUCUUCUUUGUCAGAACCGAAGACAUGGUGGCCAAAGCGGACGGCUUCCCCGAGACUUGGAAUUACACUCGUAAGUGUCUAUUCUUCUUUUGUUAAAAACAUUUGAUCUGUUUGUUUUAUUCGUAGGCUCCAAAAUUUUGUCCCUUCUUCGUGCAGCCAAGACUACGCCCCCUCCUUUGGUCGGGGAAAUUUCUGACUGGGUUGGCCGGAUUCUACCUCACAUCGUGGGAAUUUGUGAGUGGCCGAGCUUUUUCAAGAAGUUUGGGCAUGCUCCUUCCUUGGCCGACGAGUUUAUCUAUAUAUUUUUGUUGUCUUGACGUCAUGGUCGCCUACUUAUUGUAGUUUGCUCUUGGUAGUAGUGAUAACCUUACUUUGACUUUUCUUUUUCAGCCCGAGGAUCUUCGAGAAGGAAGGUUGUCUUUGCUUCGGCUUCUAUUCCCACUGUGACCGUGGCUAGGUAUGCUCGAUCGUCUGCUUUUGUUUCUUCCUCAAGCGCUGCUAGGUCUGCUCGACUGUCAGCCCCAUCUACUGCUGCCUUAGUAUCCUUUUCUUCUCUGCCUACAGAUAUUUCGACAGCGGAGCUUCCAACUUCCCCUUUGCACCGUCUAGUGGACGACGAGGAGGAGUCAUUGCCGAGCGGCGAGAAUUUUGUUCCCCGUAAGAGAAGAUCGGUGGACGUUGGUGAUAGGGUUGCCUGGGCUGUAGAUUUGGUAAGGGAUGAUUUUGUCAUCUGUGAGACGGUGGCCAUAAUACUUGAGGACAACGUCGAGCUGGUGUCUGAUAUUCCGACAUCAACGGAGGCCAUUGAGGGCAUGCCUCUUCCCUUUGCAGCGGUAGGGGUCGAAGGGCCGGCCGUUGUGGCUUCUGAUAAUUUGCGGUAGGAGGGGUCACCGACUUUGCAGCCAGCUAACGAUGCUUAUUCGCCAGCCGAUGGGAGAGGCAAAGGCAUUACCGAUUAAGGCCACGAGACUGGUUCUGAUCUCGAUGCUGACGAGAUGCAUAUGAUGGAUGAGGGAUUUGCCCAGCUGGAGGUGAGACUGGAGGGGUCCACGUGGACUAUUGCGAUCCCCAUAGAAUGGGACCUAUUAAAAGAUACGGAGAACGUGGUUCCUGCCCUCGGUCCCCUUUGCUCCGACGUGGAUGGUCAAACUCUCCAAGAGUUGAAUCAUGCUACUUUAUCGAUAAGCAUAGCGGACCUCGCUCUCAAGGUAAGAUUUUCGACGCUUCUCAUUUCUGUUCGUUAUGCUCAAUGUUUAGGCUUCGUUCUUGCUCUGCUUGCUUUCUUUUUCUCUCUUUUUCAGAUUGUGAUCUUGGAAAUUGAAAGCACCCAAAGAGAGGAGUGGCGUAAGGCUAUUUUUAUGCAGUUGCACAGAAAAUACCACGAGUGCUGUGGCAAGCACCGGGAAAUUUGUAGGAGGGUUCGGUAAGAGCAACAAUUUUCAGGCUCUUCAAGAUGAACUAAAGGAGAAGGAUGACGAGCUGGCGAGGGUCAUCAAAAAGUGCAGCAUCCUUGAGGGGACGUUAAGAAAUAAAUAGGAAGAGCUCGAGGCUAGUAUGGGGGUCAAAGCCCAGUGCGGCGACCUCCAAGCCCACGUGGUUUCUCUGAGCGCCCAACUUGAGGAAUGGCAAUUCAAAGCGGAUGCUCUAGGCGUCAAGGUCACCGAGAAGGCAGAGGACCUUGAGAAAGCAGAGUUUGCUCGGUCGGGGGCUCUGAGGAAGGCGGGAGAUUUGGAGGUAGUGAUCCGUAUUCUUCGCUCUGAGCGAGAAAGUAACUUGGAGAUGACCAAGCUUAAAGAAAAGCAUCUUGAUGAGAGGAUUAGGGAGUUGGAGAAAGACAACUCCCUCCAUCAGGAUCAGGUGACCACCUUAGAGGCCGAGAAGGCUCAUAUGCUUACGAAACUGUCAUCUUCUCAUACUUCAAAUUUCCCAAACGUUCCCCGAGGCCUGUACGAGGAAUAGAUUCACGCUGAGGCCCAGUUGGAAGUAUUUCGAGAUGUGCAUGGGCGGGUUCUGUUCCUAGGGAUGCCCUUGAAGAUGCUCGAUUUAAGGCCCGUAAAGCUCGAAUCACUUGCGGGUAUGAUCAUGUUAUACCGUAGGCCGGUAACGAUGAGAGGGACGUGAAUGUGGAUCAGAUUGAAGAGGACUCCUAUUACAAGGACACAUACCCUGAGGGCGGUGGUGAUGGUGAUGGGGCAGAUGGAGACGACCCAAAGUCAAGCCGAUGGCACUGAUGGUCCUGGUGGCGACCAAUAGUUUUUCUUUUUCCUUCACUUAUUUUGCUGCAAACUUGUGUGUUUUUUGUAGGCAUCUUUACAAGCCUUUGUAAAAAUAUUUUAAGUAUGAAAUGUCGACUUUGUUAUUUGUACCUGAUUUUUUUUUUUGGUUCGUGCUUGUAUGCUUUUUGAUUUUCUCGCUUUGUUGCCUUGAUUUUCUUAGCCGUAAUCACUUAGCUCGAAUAAGGUUGAACAUAUCCUAAGUUUAAUUACGGACGAGGGUCAGCAGGUGUUAGUUUGAAUAAGGUCAAACCGAAACCUAAGUUUGAUUAUGGCCGAGGGCCAGUAGAUGUUAGUUCGAACGAGGUCGAACAUAUCCUAUAUUUAAUUAUGGCUGAGGGCCAGUAGAUGUCAGUUCAAAUGAGGUCGAACAUAUCCUAUGUUUAAUUAUGGCUGAGGUCUAGUUAGGUGUUAAUUCAAACAAGGUCAAACAUAACCUAUGUUUAGUUUGAGGGCUAGUUAGGUGUUAAUUCGAACGAGGUCGAAUAUAACCUAUGUUUGGUUAUGGCCGAGGGACAAUUAGGUGUUAAUUCGAACGAGGUCGAAUAUAACAUAUGUUUGGUUGUGGCCGAGGGCUAGUUAGGCGUUAAUUUGGAUGAGAUCAAAUAUGCCUCUAGGUACGACAGUUGUCGACGUUGUGAUCUUUAAGGCAUUCAGAGAAAUAGAAAUAAACUUCAUGCAUUGGUGCUUUGUUCAUACACUUGGAGAAAUUUACAUCUUUUUUCGGGCAUUGGCUGGUGUUCCAGUUCCAGUCCUAGUCUAUCUAGUCCCUUCAUUGGUCGAGCUGGAGAAGUCUUGAUAGGUUGAGCAAUGAAAUAGUUGCCAUGUGCCUGCGUCUAUGCGCACUUCGACCCCCUUCGUCGCCUCGUUAAAAACCUUCUUGAGAAAACCCAAUUGGUACAAAACUCAAAUGAGGGGAAAACGAGUAUGACUUGGGGGACGCUUUAUCUCUUAAAAUUUGAAGUACUUGAGGCGGGUAAUAUUCCGGUUGUUUAGUAGUAGCUUUCCUUCCAUUGUUUCUAGUUGGAAUGACACUUUGUUAGUUGUUGCCGUGAUUUGUACGGGCCAUCCCAAUUUGUUCCCAGUUUACCUUCCCGUGGGUCUUUGCUUGGUUAUGUUUUAGCUUUAAGCACGUAGUCCUCGUCUUUGAGUGGCUUGACUUUUGCCUUUUUGUUAUAAUAGCAUUCUACUUGUUAUUUUUGGGCGAUCAUCCUUACGUAGGCCAUAUCUCUUUGUUCUUCGACUUCGUCGAGCUCUUACCUUCUACAUUCAUUGUUCCUUGGUCCGCUCUCAUGGGAGUAUUUUAGGCUGGGCUCCUCGACUUUGACAAGUAUUACUACAUGUCCCAUAGACUAAUGAGUAAGGCAUCUCUCCUAUGCUCGUCUUCGGCAUUGUUCAGUAGGCCCAGAGUACUUCUGGUAAUAUUUCCGGCUAUAACCCUUUGGCGUCUUCAAGUUUUUUCUUCAUGAUGUUCAAUAUCGACUUGUCGGAGGAUUCCACUUCUCUGUUGCCUGCGGAAUGAUAUGGCGUUGAGAGUAUUCCUUUGAUAUACCAUUUUUCAAAAAAUUCAGCGACCUUAUUUCUUGUAAAUUGGGGCAUAUUAUCGCAACUGAUCUCUUUGGGGAGGCCGAAUCGGCAACGAUGUUUUUCCAUAUGAAGGCGAUCACUUCCUAUUCACAUAUUUGGACAAAUUCUCCUGUUUCUACUCAUUUAGAGAAAUAGUCAAUCAAAACCAAAAGGAAUCGCACAUUACCUCGUCCUGCCGGGAGGGGGCCUAUGAUGUCCAUUCCCUAUUUAAUGAACGACCAAGGAGAAGUGACUGAGUGGAGGUGUUCGCCUGCUUGGUAAAUCAUUAGGGCAUACUUUUGGCAUUGCUCACAUUUUUCACGAAGUCCACGACCUCUUUUUUCAUGGUGGGCCAGUAAUACCCUACCCGUAUAUGACAUCUGACAAAAGCUUGAUUGCCAGAAUGAUCUCUGCAAUGGCCUUCGUAGGCCUCUUCUGAACGUGUCGCGUCUGAUUUGGGCCCAAGCAUUUUGCUAGAGCGCCAUCGUAUGUUCUCUUAUGCAGGUCAUUGUGGAUGAUGCUUUACCUAGCCGUUUGCAUUCUCAGCUUUUUGGCCUCUUUUUAUCACCUGGGAGUACAUUGUUCUGCAAAUAUGUGACAAAACAGUUGCGCCAGUCCCAUGUCAGGUUUACGGUUCUUACCUCGAUUAGGUCUAUUGAUGAGUUAAGAAGGUGGACCACACUUCUAUCUUCGGUUGCAAUAUUUUUUGGGGCUGUGGCUAAUUUGGCGAGGUCGCCCGCCUCGGUAUUCUAUGCUCGGGGGAUUUGGUCGAGUUGGCAUUCGUCAAACUCGGGCAGCAGCUUGCAGAUUUUGGUCUGGUACUUUUGCAACCUUUGUUCCUUGAUUUAGAAAGUCCCUGUGACUUGGUUGACAAUGAGUUGAGAAUCACAGCGCAGUCUUAAUUGUUUUGCCCCGUAUUUGAGUGCUAGUCUUAACCCUGCAAUUGUGGCCUCAUACUCGGCCUGAUUGUUAGUCAUGUCUAGGCACCUUAUAGACUAGCGAAUCACUUUUUCGGUUGGGACUUCGAGUACGAGUCCCAGUUCACACUCUGACGCUUUGGACGUGCCGUCAGUGUAUAGGAUUCAUAGGUCUUGUGUUUGCGGAGAAGCGUGGACGGCUUCUUUUUCGACUUUGGGCAUUAUUUUUGCGCUGAGUCAGCGACGAAUUCUGCAAGGACUUGUAACUUUAUCACUGUUCGUGGCUGAUAUGUGAUAUCGUGCUCGCUCAGUUCGAUGGCAUAUUUGGCCAACCUUCCCAAUAGCUCGGGUUUAUGCAAAAUGCUUCUUAGGGGGAAAGUCGUGACAACCGAGGUAGGGUGGCAUUGGAAAUAUGUCUAAGCUUUCGCAAAGCUACGACUAAGGCCGGAGCCAAUUUUUUGAGGUGAGGGUAUCUCGUCUCGGUGUCGACUAGUGUUCUGCUAAUGUAAUAGAUGUGAGACUGCAUACCUUUAUUUUCUCGGACCAAGACUGGGCUCACCGUUACUUCGGAUACUGGGAGUUAGACGAGGAGACGUCCCCCCUGCUUUGGUUUUGAAAGUAAUGGUAGCGAUGACAAAUAUGCUUUUAAUUCCUUUAGGGCUUGGACACGCUUAGAAGUCCAUUGGAGGCCGUUAUCCUUCUUGAGUACCCCGAAGAAUCUGUGACACCUAUCCGAUGAUCGCAAAAUGAAUCUUGGAAGGGUGGCGAUAUGGCUAGUUAGUCUCUAAACCUGUUUUUUGGUGGUUAGGUGUUCUGGUAUCCCUUCAAUGGCUCUGAUUUGAUUAGGAUUGACCUCGAUCACUCGUUCUGACACCAGAAAACCUAGAAAUUUUUCUGAGGCCACGCCGAAUGCACACUUUUCAGGAUUCAGUUUCAUUCUGUACCGUCUAAAUAUGUUGAAUGUUUCUUUUAAGUGGUCGAUGUGAUCUUCUUUCCUUUUGGACUUGACCAACAUGUCAUCUAUAUAGACUUCCAUUGUUUUGCCGAGUUGGUCUUUGAACAUCCUCGUCACUAACCUUUGGUAAGUUGCCCCUGCAUUUUUCAACCCGAAGGGGAUGACCCUAUAGCAGUACGCCCCCUGGUGGGUGAUGAAAGUGGUUUUCUCCUGAUCCUCUUCUUCCACGAGGAUCUGAUUAUAGCCCGAGCAGGCGUCCAAUAAGCUUAGUAGUUCAUGCAUGGCCAUUGAGUCGAUGAGUUGGUCAAUAUGAGGUAAUAGAAAUGAAUACUUUGGGCAUGCUUUGUUCAAAUUUGUGAAAUCUACGCAUAUCUGUCAUGUCCUAUUCUUCUUUUUCACCAUGACCACGUUGGCGACCCAUUGGGGGUAUUUCGACUCCUCGACUAAGCCAUUUUCUAGUAGUUUUUCCACCUUUUUGUGUACUGCAUCAUUAAUUGCGGAGUUAAACUUACGUCUAACCUACCUCAUCGGGGGUUGGAAUGGAUCGAUGUUCCGUUUGUGCAUGGAGAUUUCCUUUGGGAUACCUGGCAUAUUUGCAUGGCUAAAAGCACACAAGUCCGCGUUAGUAGUUAAGAAUUGACGAAACUUACCCGGUUCCUGAAGUUUGCAGCCUAUGCAAGCUUUCUUUUUAUGGUCGUUGCUAUCUAGUUGAACGGGGUCGCAAUCUUCUACAGUCGAUCCCGUAGCUUUGACCAUAUCGGGGUCUCUGAUGAAAUCCUCUCUAUCAUCACAUAUCGACCUCGACCCUAUUGAUUGCUUUUCCUCUUUUUCUUUGUCCUUCGUUUAUUGAGUGACCGUGUCUAGGGAGAUGCGGUAGCAUUCCCGCAAUGUGUGUUGUUCCCCUCGUAUAUUAAAUAUUCCCCAUAGAGUUGGGAAUUUGAUGACUUGGUACAAUCUGGAAAGGAUGGCUCUCACAUUGUGUAUCCAUGGUCAUCCUAUUAUAGUGUUAUACGAUGUAUCUUAGUCCAUGAUAUGGAACGUGGUUUCCAGAGUUAUGCCGGCCAGGACGGGGAGUGUGAUUUCGCCAGAUAUUCGCUCAACUGCAUUGUUAUAACAUGUUAGUGUGAUGAAAUGCGACACUAUCUUAUCUUUGAGUUUCAUUUGUGCAAGUACUCGAGGGUGUAUAAUGCACGCGCCGCUCCCAUCGUCUACCAUAAUGCGUCUCACAUCGGUAUCUAAAAUUUGUAAAGUGAUAACAAGGGCAUCAUAGUGAGGGAAAGCCAAACCGUUAGUAUCUGAAUUAUCGAAGAUGAUACUUUCUUCGAGUUCAUCAUACCGUUCGUGGGUGAUUAACCGUUUGAGCUUGUGGGUUGUGGUGAACUUCACACUGUUGAUGGAAGCAUCGUCGCCGCCGCCACUAAUCAUAUGGACAGUGCGGGUAGACAAGGGCGGUUUCGAUGGUCCUUGAUGUUGUUCACGUUCUCUGGAAAUGUUGGUCCAUCCCUGGUUGCUCAGCAACUCUUUGAGGUGUCCCUGUCGUAGCAUGUUUACGACCUCCUAUCUUAGGGCGAUGCAUUCCUCGGUUUUGUGUCCUCGCUCUUGGUGGAACUCGCAAAAGGCGUCUGAUUUUCUAGUACUCGGGUCUGACCUCAUCUUUUAUGGCCACUUCACCCUUGGUCCGAGCUUCUCCAAGGUGUAGACUAUUUCUGUAGGUGACCCACAAAAAUUGUGAAUGGAUAAUAAAUGGGGCAUACCUCUUUUGUACCGGUGAGUCCUUGUCCUUGAUCUGGGUGGGCCCUCUUCGUGGCGGGAGGAGGACAUAAUGGCGGUUCUGACAUUUGGUAGAUGUUGUUCCUAUCACACCUCCUUUUUCCUACACCCCGAAAGGGUAGAAGGGAGUUUUUCCAAUUUAAGUUACAAUCGAAACGAGAUUAUUUAUUUAAUAUCGGAGUCGCCACUUGGGAUAAUUUAUGGUGUCCAAAGUCACCGGUUUAAAUCCCGAAUCGAUGAAAGGAUUGACUCUGUAUUACAGUCUGCGAUCACAGAAAUCCGGGUAAGGAAUUCUAUUAAUCCGGAAGAAGGUGUUAGGCAUUCCCGAGUUCCGUGGUUCUAGCACGGUCGCUCAACUGUUAUAAUUGGCCUAUUGUCUGAUUUAAUACAUAUUUUAACCUAUGGUUCAAUGUUAACUUUAUAACCGCUUUUAAUUAUUUGAUUAUUCGUAAUUAAAGAAUUGAGCUACGCGUACAUAUACUCUUUUCCUUUGACGCGUCAAAAAUCAUGUCACGCGAACGUAUCCACAAUUAAUAAUGCUUUGUUUAUUUUAUUAAGAAAAGUUUGACCGAAGUUGCGCGAACGCAUACAUCGAUUUAUUUUUAGAAAUCGCAAUCAUAUUACGCGAACGUGUCCACAACUGCGAUGAUAUAUUAAAUGGGCCUAAAGCAAACUACGAACAUUUGUUAUUUAUGGAAACUUGGUCAACUUUAGUUAUAGAAAGUUUUUUCUUUUUUGAUUUGGAAAUUUGGUCCAUUUAUUAGAUGAACAUUCCGACGAAAAAUUAUUCUCAAGCCCAUUUCUCAAUCACUCAUCUUGACCAAACAGAACCCUAUGAGUCAAAAGUCUUUUAAUUACUACUAAGAAGCAAACAACGACCCACAACAUCAAUUAAAAAACCUAAAUUUUCAUUUAAUAUACAACAAGAUCAUAUGGCUCAAAUCCAGUGCAACUACUAUGUUUGGUUUCUUUUUAGUGUUUCUUAUUUUUUAACUUUCACAUCAAAUUAGUUGCCAUGCUCUUCUAUUAUGCACAAGAUGGAAAAUUAAGAUGAAAUUAAUUCAAAUAGCUCAUCACCGAUUAAAACAUUAAAUGUAAUAUAUCAAACCCUUCCCAAAAAUUAAAUUAUAAAAAAAAUAAAACAGUGAACUCUUCUGAAAUCCUUAAAAGAGCAAAACUAGACAGUAGAUAACUUAAACCUUUGGAGAACAAUUGUAUAAUAUAUGAAGUUUUGGAGACUAGUUUUCAGAACUUAGCUAAAUUCUAAGAUGCACAGUGCCAAGCGCGGGAAUCAACAUUAAAACAAGGCUGCUGCAACUUCCCGAAUAUAACUCAAUAACAUGCUAAAUACAUAACCAUCAAAUCCAUAAUACAAUAAAUCAAGCACGAGAAGGAUAAAGCUAAGAGAAACAGAUAUGAAAAUCACAGAGCAAAUAAAGUUUAAAAAUUGGGCAUUUCAUCGACUUCAAAAUUGCAACUUAUAAUACGAACCGGAAAUGACCGCAAUGGAACAGGAACUCGACGACCUCGAAGCUCGCCGGAAAUUGAUGAACCUCGGUCGAACCCCGACUUUUCAGUGAUAACUGAAACGAAUGAUUGUUAUCAUCGGAAUUUCUCACUCUGUUUCUACCCGUUCACCCCUGUAUUAGGCUAGCUCUUUUCUCUUGUGUCUAUCUAAUUUCCUAGCUUUUUUCCUGUGUGUUUGGCAUUUGGCUGGGUUUUUUAAAGGGGGGGGGGGGUCUAUGGCUGUUGAAGGUGUAAGAAAAGAAGAACCAGAUUUUUUGAUUUCUUCCCCCUCCUCUCUCUCUAUCUCCAACCUUAUAUCCUUUUCUGAUCUCUAAUGUGUGUACCAUGUGGGGUCCAAUGCAUAAAGUAAAAAUGUGAAACAAAAUUGGCAUGCCAUUUUCAAACGUGAGUGUGCACUGCAUUGUGGAAGAAUGAUGGUGAGG